rnacentral:ncRNA from 1 species
CGCGGGGAACGCCGAAAACCGCACCAUCAACAGAGUAGGCA